rnacentral:rRNA from 1 species
UACGUAGGGGGCAAGCGUUGUCCGGAAUCAUUGGGCGUAAAGCGCGUGUAGGCGGUCCGGUAAGUCUGCUGUGAAAGUCCAGGGCUCAACCCUGGGAUGCCGGUGGAUACUGUCGAGCUCGAGUCCGGAAGAGGCGAGUGGAAUUCCUGGUGUAGCGGUGAAAUGCGCAGAUAUCAGGAGGAACACCAAUGGCGAAGGCAGCUCGCUGGGACGUGACUGACGCUGAGACGCGAAAGCGUGGGGAGCAAACAGG